GACGAACGCUGGCGGCGUGCUUAACACAUGCAAGUCGAACGAAGUGGCGAACGGGUGAGUAAUACGUGAGUAACCUGCCCUUCAGAGGGGGACAACAGUUGGAAACGACUGCUAAUACCGCAUACUGAAGGAGGGGAUUGCGUGGGAUUAGCUAGUUGGAGGGGUAACGGCCACACAAGGCGAUGAUCAGUAGCCGGGCUGAGAGGAUGAACGGUCAAAUUGGGACUGAGACACGGCCCAGACUCGUACGGGAGGCAGCAGUGGUGAAUCUGCCGCAAUGGACGAAAGUCUGACGGAGCAACGCCGCGUGAGUGAUGACGGCCUUCGGGUUGUAAAGCUCUGUUAAUCGGGACGCGGUACCGGAAUAGAAAGCCACGGCUAACUACGUGCCAGCAGCCGCGGUAAUUC
rnacentral:rRNA from 1 species